rnacentral:rRNA from 1 species
AUUGAACGCUGGCGGCAGGCCUAACACAUGCAAGUCGAACGAGUGGCGGACGGGUGAGUAAUGUCUGGGAAACUGCCUGAUGGAGGGGGAUAACUACUGGAAACGGUAGCUAAUACCGCAUACCAUCGGAUGUGCCCAGAUGGGAUUAGCUAGUAGGUGGGGUAAAGGCUCACCUAGGCGACGAUCCCUAGCUGGUCUGAGAGGAUGACCAGGAACACGGGAACAGAGACACGGUACAUACGGCUACGGGAGGCAGCAGGGGGGAAUAUUGCACAAGGGGCGAAAGCAUGAUGCAGCCAUGCCGCGUGUAAGAAGAAGGAAAUAGGGUUGAAAAGUACUGUCAGCGGGGAGGCGUUACCCGCAGAAGAAGCACCGGCUAACUCCGUGCCAGCAGCCGCGGUAAUAC